UGCGCUCCUCGAGGCCAGAGCCC
rnacentral:miRNA from 8 species